ensembl:lncRNA THUMPD3-AS1 THUMPD3 antisense RNA 1
GGGGGCGGGCUGCCGGCCGAGACUUCUGGAUGGCGGCGGCCGCGGCUCCGCCCCGGGUUCCCACCGCCUGAAGGGCGAGACAAGCCCGACCUGCUACAGGCACUCGUGGGGGUGGGGGAGGAGCGGGGGUCGGUCCGGCUGGUUUGUGGGUGGGAGGCGCUUGUUCUCCAAAAACCGGCGCGAGCUGCAAUCCUGAGGGAGCUGCGGUGGAGGAGGUGGAGAGAAGGCCGCACCCUUCUGGGCAGGGGGAGGGGAGUGCCGCAAUACCUUUAUGGGAGUUCUCUGCUGCCUCCCGUCUUGUAAGGACCGCCCUGGGCCUGGAAGAAGCCCUCCCUCCUUUCCUCCUCGCGUGAUCUCGUCAUCGCCUCCAUGUCGAGUCGCUUCUCGAUUAUGGGCGGGAUUCUUUUGCCUAGGCUUAAGGGGCUAACUUGGUCCCUGGGCGUUGCCCUGCAGGGGAGUGAGCAGCUGUAAGAUUUGAGGGGCGACUCCGAUUAGUUUAUCUUCCCACGGACUAGAGUUGGUGUCGAGGUUAUUGUAAUAAGGGUGGGGUAGGGAAAUGGAGCUUAGUCAUUCACCUGGGGCUGAUUUUAUGCAACGAGACUGCGGAUUAUCACUACUUAUCAUUUUUGGAGCAUUUUUCUAGAGACAGACAUAAAGCAUGAUCACCUGAGUUUUAUACCAUUUGAGACCCUUGCUGCACCACCAAAGUGUAGCAUCAGGUUAAAUCUUAAUAGAAAAAUUUUAGCUUUUGCUUGAGAAACCAGUGCUUCCCUCCCUCACCCUCUCUCCCCAGGCUCUCUACCCCUUUGCAUCCCUACCAGGCAUCUUAGCAACUCUCACUCAUACUUGAUCCCAUUUUCCAUUUGUUGUACUUGCUCCUCUAGUAUUCAGACAUAGCACUAGCUUUCUCCCUCUCUUGAUCUUGGGUAGCCUGGUGUCUCGCGAAACCAGACAGAUUGGUUCCACCACAAAUUAAGGCUUGAGCUGGGGCUUGACUCUUACCCAGCAGUGCUUUUAUUCCUCCCUAGUUCACGUUCUUAAAUGUUUAUCUUGAUUUUCAUUUUAUCCUUUUUCCUUAGCUGGGAUUCUGUCCCUGACCGUCUUCACAGUCCAGGUGAUCUUGACUACUGCUUUACAGAGAAUUGGAUCUGAGGUUAGGCAACAUCUCCCUUUUUCUUCCUCUAAAUACCUCUCAUUUCUGUUCUUACCAGUUAGUAACUGAUCUCAGAUGCCUGUGUGAUAGCUUCCAAAUUGCUGUCUCUGUCUUUAGUGUUAUCUUUUGAUCCAUCUUACAUCUUGUUAGGAUGAUUGUCCUAAAGGAAGAUAGAGCAUGAAAAUGACAGGUGAAACUCCAUUACUGGCUUGUACUGUUUACAGCAAGUUGUCUAACCCGCGGGCCGCAUGGGACCCAGGACAGCUUUGAAUGCGACCCAACACAAAUUCGUAAACUUUCUUAAAGUUUUAGGAGUUUUUUUUGCGGGGUGUUUUUUUUGUUGUUGUUGUCUGUUUUUUUUUUUUGCUCAUCAGCUGUCCUUUAUAUGUGGCCCAAGACAGUUCUUGCAGUGUGGCCCAGGGAAGCCGAAAGAUUGGACACCCCUGGUUUACAGGAUGAAUUCUGUUCUCGUGAAUGUGAUGCAUAAGGUCCCUGGAUAGACUUUCCUCAAUUUAACAGCUUUUUCAUUUUUCACUAUUUUCCACAUACUACACACACAAAUAUGACCUCUCUCCUGAAGUCACAUGGAAUGAAUUGCAGUUACCCAAAUCAUAGAGACGUCAUAUAUCUUUGUGGGGUGGUUCUUUUUGGAAUGCUACCCUUGCUGCUUUUAAUCCUGCAGAUUCAAAUGUCAUCUCCCCUUUGGUCAUGCCUUCCAUGGUCUGUUGUUCUAUGACCCAAACUGCCCUUUUAAAAAAGCAGUUUUCUUCUGACUCCUGAGCAGUUUGUACUGCGUGGGUCAUAGUAAUUCUGGGGUUGUUGUCAUUGCUGAUUUAAAUUACCUUAACUAUUCUGAGCUUUUUGAAGGAAUAGUGUCUUGUACUCCUGAGCUCCUAGUAUACUCUGAUGUCUAGCCAACUUUAAGUAAAUGGAGUGAGCGACAUGUAAAUGUCUUUAUGGUUUGACAUUUUAUUAAUCUUGAGCAUUGGAAAAGUGGCUGGUAUGACUAAAGAACUGAAUUUUUAUUUUUUAUCUAAUUUGAAUUGCAACUGUGGACAGUAUAGCUGUAGCCCCGGACUUGUUCUGUGGAUUACAGAAUACGUGGACAUUGAUGGUUUUCUCUUUUUACUGAGCAGUAAGGAAAUAAAAGCUGAAGCUCUCUGGCCCAUUACAUUUCAUUUAACUGCUUGUUUUGUUUUAUUUAUUAUAUAUUUAGCUGAAAGCUAAGUCCAACAAACCAUUUUUAAAGAUGUGCCUGCCUUGGACAACAGUGAAAGCAAGCGUUAAUGAGUUUGGAUUUCAAAAAAAAAUGCAUAAUGAAUUUUAGGGAGGUGUGGAAACAGGAAGAGAACUAGAACUGGAAGUAAAGCAUUGAAGAUGUGACUGAAUUGCUGCAAUCUCAUGAUCAAAUUUGAAUGGAUGAGGAGUUGCUUUUUAGGGAUGAGCAAAGAAAGUGGUUUCUCGAGAUGGAAUCUACUGGUGAAGUUGCUGUGAACAUUGUUAAAAUGCCAAUAAAGGAUUUAGGAAUUACAGAAACCUGGUUGAUAAAGCAGUGCCAGGGUGUGAGAGAGUUGACUUCAAUUUUGAAAUAAGUUCCACUGGCUGGGUGUGGUGGCUCACACCUGCAAUCCCAGUACUUUAGGAGGCCGAGACUGGUAGAUCAUUUGAGGUCAGGAGUUCAAGACCAGCCUUGCCAACAUGGUGAAACCCCACCUCUACCAAAUUAGCCAGGUUGCUCCUUGAGGGCAGGACAGUUCUUAUGGCUUUAUCCGUUGCGUAAGCACAGAGAGGUCUGCGAGGUCAAAACUAUUGUCAUGAUAGCAAGAUGCCUGUCUUUUUCAUUUAUUCUCACGGUGUGCAGAGGCUACAUGAUGUGUGAUGACAUCCUCAUUGAUGUUAAUGAAUGGUGCUAUACUUGAAUUUUCUAAGGUGUCAUUAGGUAGGUUUAGAUGAGGUCUUGCUGUGUUGCCCAGGCUAUUCACAGCUGCCAUCAUAGUGAACUACAGCCUGAAACUCCUGGGUUCAAGAGAUCCUUCUGCCUCAGCCUCCUGAGUAGCUGGAACUAUAGGCAUGCGCCACCAAGCCUGGGCUUUUAAAAAAAUUUUAAAAAGAAUUUUGAGACAGGAUCUUGCCAUGUUGCUCAGGCUAGUCUUCAACUCCUAGCCCUGAGUGAUCUUGCUUUGGGCCUCUCAAAAUGUUGAGUUAAUAGGCGUGAGCCACCAUACCCAGCCAAAAAUUUUUUUAGAGAUGGGAAUGGAAUGAUCUUGAAUAGUGUUGGUGCCACCUAUGUUGUGGCAUCAUUUUGAAACCAAUCAUUCAGAGUGCUUUUUUUGGUAAGGCAUUAUUUUUUAAUGCAGGUAUGCCACUACUGGGAAAAAAAAAAAAACAGGUUUUAAAGCUAGAAAUGAAAAGCUACUUAAGUAUCUUAAAGGAUAAGUUACUUUAUUAUACACUAGAAACAUACACAAUAGCUGAAAAACUUAAAAAAUCUCACACUGCUGAAUGUCUCUGCUGGCUGAAGUGUAAGUAAAAGAUCAUAGUAGUGCCGCUGUUGAGUGAUAAAGCAACUUGUCAUUAAAGAUGUGUGUGCAGACAUGGAUUCUGAGUUAAUAUCUCAUCUGUAGAAGUAUAUAUUUGUCCCUUGCUUUGGGAUUGGUUUCUGGACAGCACUCCCCCACCCUUGCUGGCCAUUUGCCAAGGACACCAAAACCCAAGGAUGUUGAAUUCCCUUUUAUAAAAUGGCGCUGUAUCUGCAUACAACUUACACACAUCCUCCCAUAUACUUUAAAUCAUUUCCAGAUUUCUUAUACUUCAUACAAUGUGAAUGCUAUAUAAAUAGUUGUUACAUUGUGUACUUAUAUU